GAGCUAGCGGCGGACGGGUUAGUAACGCGUGGGAACGUGCCCUUCACUGCGGAAUAGCCACUGGAAACGGUGAGUAAUACCGCAUACGCCCUUCGGGGGAAAGAUUUAUCGGUGAAGGAUCGGCCCGCGUUAGAUUAGAUAGUUGGUGGGGUAACGGCCUACCAAGUCUACGAUCUAUAGCUGGUUUUAGAGGAUGAUCAGCAACACUGGGACUGAGACACGGCCCAGACUCCUACGGGAGGCAGCAGUGGGGAAUCUUGGACAAUGGGCGCAAGCCUGAUCCAGCCAUGCCGCGUGAGUGAUGAAGGCCUUAGGGUCGUAAAGCUCUUUCGCCAGAGAUGAUAAUGACAGUAUCUGGUAAAGAAACCCCGGCUAACUCCGUGCCAGCAGCCGCGGUAAUACGGAGGGGGUUAGCGUUGUUCGGAAUUACUGGGCGUAAAGCGCACGUAGGCGGAUCAGAAAGUUAGAGGUGAAAUCCCGGGGCUCAACCCCGGAACUGCCUUUAAAACUACUAGUCUAGAGUUCGAGAGAGGUGAGUGGAAUUCCGAGUGUAGAGGUGAAAUUCGUAGAUAUUCGGAGGAACACCAGUGGCGAAGGCGGCUCACUGGCUCGAUACUGACGCUGAGGUGCGAAAGUGUGGGGAGCAAACA
rnacentral:rRNA from 1 species